CGAACGCACCUUCGGGUGGGAGUGGCAGACGGGUGAGUAACACGUGGGAACGUACCCUUUGGUUCGGGACAACUCUGGGAAACUGGAGCUAAUACCGGAUAUGCCCUUUUGGGGAAAGGUUUACUGCCGAAGGAUCGGCCCGCGUCUGAUUAGCUAGUUGGUGGGGUAACGGCCUACCAAGGCGACGAUCAGUAGCUGGUCUGAGAGGAUGAUCAGCCACACUGGGACUGAGACACGGCCCAGACUCCUACGGGAGGCAGCAGUGGGGAAUAUUGGACAAUGGGCGCAAGCCUGAUCCAGCCAUGCCGCGUGAGUGAUGAAGGCCUUAGGGUUGUAAAGCUCUUUUAUCCGGGACGAUAAUGACGGUACCGGAGGAAUAAGCCCCGGCUAACUUCGUGCCAGCAGCCGCGGUAAUACGAAGGGGGCUAGCGUUGCUCGGAAUCACUGGGCGUAAAGGGCGCGUAGGCGGCGUUUUAAGUCGGGGGUGAAAGCCUGUGGCUCAACCACAGAAUGGCCUUCGAUACUGGGACGCUUG
rnacentral:rRNA from 1 species